UCGGCCCGACCCCGGAGCUCCGCCAUGGAGAGGUACCAUGUGCUGGAGGUGAUCGGAGAAGGCUCCUUCGGACGGGUGUACAAGGGGCGGCGGAGGUGCAGCGCCCAGGUGGUGGCUCUGAAAUUCAUCCCCAAGGUGGGGCGGUCUGAGAAGGAGCUGAAGAAUCUGCAGCGGGAAAUUGAGAUUAUGAGAGGUCUCCGUCAUCCUAACAUCAUCCAGAUGCUCGACAGCUUUGAGACUGAUAAAGAGGUGGUGAUGGUGACUGACUACGCAGAGGGAGAGCUAUUCCAGAUCCUGGAGGAUGAUGGCAGUUUGCCCGAGGACCAGGUGCAGAUCAUAGCUGCCCAGCUGGUCUCUGCUCUCUAUUACCUACACUCCCACCGCAUCUUGCACCGUGACAUGAAACCCCAGAACAUCCUGCUGGGCAAAGAUGGUGUCAUCAAGCUCUGUGACUUUGGGUUUGCACGUGCCAUGAGCAUCCACACCAUGGUGCUGACUUCCAUCAAGGGCACUCCACUGUACAUGUCCCCUGAGCUGGUGGAGGAGCGGCCGUAUGACCACACAGCAGACCUGUGGUCUGUGGGCUGCAUCCUGUAUGAGCUGUUCACAGGCAAACCUCCCUUCUACACAAGCAGCAUCUUCCAGCUUGUCAGCCUCAUUGUCAAGGACCCUGUCAAGUGGCCUAAGGCCAUAAGCCCAACCUUCAAGAGCUUCCUGCAGGGGCUGCUAAUGAAGGACCCUCGCCAGCGCUUGUCAUGGCCAGAGCUGCUCUCCCACCCCUUUGUUGCUGGACGGGUGACUGUGAUUGAUGACACAGAAGAGCAUGGGAUUUCAAACCCCUUCACCACCAAGCUGUCCCCAGAGCUACAGGCCCUGAAAGAGCAGCAAGCCCAUUCCCUGGCCCCUAGGAGUGGUCAGUCCAGGAUCCUGAGAAAGGCUCGGCAGAAGAUGGCUGAGGAGGCACAGAAAAAGGGGCAGCUGAAGGCAAAGACUCCAUCUAUGAAGGACUCUGGCAAAGGACACACCAGACAUAAACCCAGAGAAGCGUUUGGAAAGGCAGCUCUUGAGGAGGGGAAGGAGCUACCAGCAUCCUUCCAAGAGAAGAACUCAGGUGUCCUGCAAGGAAAGAACAGCAUGUCAGAGUGGCAACUGGAGGAGCCUCCUCCCAGCCCACGGGAGCACAGCAUCACACAAGAUUAUGAGCGGGAGUUUCCCCAGCCAGAAGCACCUCUGCAGCUUGGUGUUGGCAGAGCAGAGCUUGAGGGCAGGCAAAGCAUUGAGGCUGUGGACCUGGAGAGUGAGGAGCUGGGGAGUGAUGAGGAGUGGCAGCACCUGAUCGAGGCCACAGAGCCCUUGGCCAUGCAGCUGAGCACACCUCUGAGCCUCCUGAGGGACUCAGCCUUCCGGCACCGUGUCCAAGCCCGGCUUGCAGAAUCUGCUCAGCAAGUGCUGGAAGGGAUGCUUGAGGGAGCCUCCCAUCUCCGUUCUGUGCUUCGUGUUGUGGGAAAUCUCCUGGCUACCCGCUGUGACUCUGAGCUGCUGAACCUCUUUUGCCAAGAGCUGAAUGUGCCAUUGUCCUUGCUGCAUCUGGCCAAGCAGAUACUGGAGAGUGGCAGAACCAAGCAGCAGCCCUGGUGUAUUGCAGUGCUGACAGACCUCAUCAUGGUGACCACAGGUUACUUCAGUAGCGAACGCAGCCUGGAGAAGAGUGGGCAGGACAGCCUACAGACCUUCCAGGAGAGUGCCAACUAUUUCCUAUCCCUGCUGCCGGAUCUUCUGGCUGAGCCAGCUGACAGUGAGAUGAGACUCUGCCAGCAAAGCCUCCUGUGCUUUACUCUGCUCUGUGAGAGCCUGGAUGCGAUGUGCUCCUCUAUCUCUGUCCCUUUCUAUGCCAGCCUACGAGAAGAGAAUGAGCCCCUGUUGGACAGACUCCUUCAGGGAUUGAUCUCUGAGCAACCUGCUCUUCAAGGUGCCGCAAUGGAGGCCAAGUCAGCUCAUGACCAGAGACAGUGUGUGGCAGACCUUUGUACAGCUGUACUGGCAGCUGCCUGCAGCAUCCCCCCAACACAGAGCAGCUGUUGGAAAGCUAAGCAGCAGGUUGCUCAGGAGAUUGCUGGAAAGCUUAUGGAUGGAGAGAGCCAUCAGCUUGGGAAGCUGCUGGGGAGGCUGGAGCACCCAAAUUGUUCCUUGAAUGUUCUCAAGAUCCUCUACACUGGCUGCUAUGCCAGCCCGAAUCUGUGCCAGCACCUGGGGAGGAGCCAGCAAGUAUUUGAUUUCCUCAUGCAGCUCUCAAAGAGCAAGGUCCCCAUGGCAGAAGUGACUCAGAGGGUGGCCUGUGAGGGCUCCCUAUGCUUGCUGGCCCUGCUUACCCUGCAGCCCCAGGUCUCUCCUUCCAGGCUUGAGGAGGUGGUUACUCUGGCCCGGGAUCUGCUUACUCAGUCUCCUGUCAUCUCUGUUGUGGGCGCUGCAGCGUUCAUCCUGACGCAGCUUGAUCAGCGUGGGGUGCCUGUGGCACUUGAAGGAAAAGAAAUCUUACCAGCAGUGACAAACGCAAUGAUGGAGCCUGCUGAGCUGCACUUCUCCUUGCCUAUGGGUGCUGGUCUCUAUGAUGGGAUCAUUUUCCUCCUGCUGAAGCUACUUGCACAGGAAGAUGCGACUGUGGAGCAGAGCUUUGCUGCCUCAGAGUUGUGGAGUGUGGUGUGGCAUUGUGUUUCUGCAGUGCUUUGCAUGGGUGGUGGGGCAGCGCUGGAAGGAAACAGCCCAGGAGCAGAGCCAGACUGGAGCCUGCUCUCCCCUCAAGGCACACUGCUUUUCUUAAGCCUGGCCCUUUUCAUCUUCACUCGUGAGACCCACCGGUGCCUGCCUCAUCUCACCCAGUCCCAUGGCGUCUUCAUGGUGAUGCUGAAGACACUGCUGUCCCCUCGCUUCCUGGCGUGUCUGGCAAUGACACAAGCAGGGGAGAACGGAGAGGCUGAGCUCAUCCCGGCUGUAGUGAUUCAGGCCUGCCAACUCCUCUGUUUUCCUUUUGCCCUGGACGUGGAUGGAAACACCAUAGCAUUAGUCAUCGAGGCAGUAAGAGACUCCCAGAUCCCUCUGCAGCUACUGCAGGUCUGCUGUCACCAUCUGCCUUUCUCAGACACCGAGCUUCCCAUGAGCCUCUUAUGCCGCCUUGUUGUGUCCGAUGAGCAGGUCACAGACCAAGUAGCGAGGGAGGCUGCCGCCUCAGAGCACAUCAUUGCCUACCUGAGUACUGUCUUGUUUUCAGGCAGCCUCACGCUCACAACUGAUCUCCUGUCUCUCUUGACUCACGUGGCUCGGACCUGUCCAGAGCACCUGCCCUUUCUCCAGAGGAUUUUAGGGGGUUCAGAUAUGUCUUACCAGGCACUGACCCACCUACUCAGCCACAAAGAACACCCCAUACGGGCCAAAACCUGCUAUCUGCUGGGCAACCUGUUCCGUCACAGCUUUCCCCAGGUGCUGCAGAACCAACCUGGCUUACUGGAGAGCCUGCUGCUGUGCCUGGCUGAUGAGGACGAUGCCGUGCGCAAGGCAGCCAGCUUUGCGGUGGGUAACGCUGCUUAUCACGAGUCCUCCCCAGCCGGGACUCUGGGCAGGGCUGUGCCCAGGCUGACACAGCUGCUGAGAGACCAUCAAGCCAAGACACGCUGCAAUGCAGCCUCAGCCCUGGGCAACUUGGGCCGGCGCUCAGCAGGGCUUGGGGAGCUGCUCAUUGAGAGCAGGGCCCCACACAUCCUCCUGGAGGUGGCCUGCAGGGACCCACAAGCCAGAGUGCGGGAGGGAGCGCUCAUGGCUCUGCGUGCCGUCAGCCAGCACCCUGGGAUACAGCAGGUGCUGCAGUCCCUCGGGGCCGGUGACCAGCUGGCUGCACUGGCCAAUAGCAAUUCCUGGCCUGUAGCUGGGGGCAGCCCCCGGCCUUCAUCUGCACGGCACUGCCAGAAGCUCAUCCGGCUCCUCACACCUCUGCAGAGCACCUGAGGGAGCGCAGUGAGUCCCUGCAAGCUACGUGUGCCUGCACUGCGCCCUGUGCUGCUGGGAGCCAGCAGUCAGUCACCUUAAUGCACUGUGAUAGAAACACUCCUUGUGACCCCAGCGCCCACAGGGGGCUCUGAGGACGAUGGCACCUUCCACAUGCUGCUGUUACAAGCCCAGGCUGCGUAUGACAGCUUAGAAAUGACUGCUUAGACACGUCACACUGGGCCAUUAUACCGCAGGACCCUUCCCACGUGCAGCCCGUGUCUGCGAUGUGGACCCGGCCGUCAUUAGGGCCCGUCUCAUCCGCCCCGCCUGCAGUUCCCCGCACGGCCGCCAGGGGGCGCUGCGGGCGCGGGGCGCGGUGCACGCCGGGCUGCCGGGACGCGCGGUCACGUUGUGAGCGCGGUGCCGGCCGGGAUCCCUAUGGUAACGGCGGGCGGUGAGUACGGGCCGAACACACAGCGCCGGUACCGGUGAGCAGCGGGCACACGUGCCGGUGUCCCACCUCACGGCCCCUUUUAUCAGCGGGGCUCCCGCUUUAAGGCCUCCCCCCCCGGUAAGGCCUCCGUCGCGGCCUGCAGCUUGUGCCCUGGGGUGAGGCCUUGGCUGGGCCCAGCUCUCGGUGCCCGCUGUCCCUAUGGGUGUGUGCAUUGUGCGGCUGUGAGCUCCGGGUCGGGUUAAAGGGGCGAUUCAAUGAGAGCUCGCUUCAUUGAGGCUGUUAGAACAUGAGUCUGCAUCGUGUUACCGGCCAUUCCAGCAGCUCAGGCAUUAAUGGAAUGCUGUGGAGCUUCGAGUGAGGGAUGUGGUGUGACCUCACAUCUCCCUUAGGGGGGAAACAAACCCUCGAUCCUUUCUAACUGUAAAGAUCUGACUUGGUUUCACAUCUGACUUGGUUUCCUUUCCUCUCCUGUGACUUUUGGAUGCGUGAGGCUGACAGCACGUUAUCAGGUCAGCUCGCAGCCCCAUGCAUUCGCAAGCUCUUGUUAUUUUAAGCGUGUCACCACGGCUGAGUUUAAAAUAACCUUCCUGUUGAA